UACGGGGGGGGCAAGCGUUGUUCGAAAUUACUGGGCGUAAAGGGCUCGUAGGCGGCCAACUAAGUCAGACGUGAAAUCCCUCGGCUUAACCGGGGAACUGCGUCUGAUACUGGUUGGCUUGAAUCCGGGAGAGGGAUGUGGAAUUCCAGGUGUAGCGGUGAAAUGCGUAGAUAUCUGGAGGAACACCGGUGGCGAAGGCAGGUCUCUGGGCCAUAACUGACGCUGAGAAGCGAAAGCAUGGGGAGCGAACAGG
rnacentral:rRNA from 1 species